rnacentral:rRNA from 1 species
GACGAACGCUGGCGGCGUGCCUAAUACAUGCAAGUUGAGCGAUGAAGAUUGGUGCUUGCACCAAUUUGAAGAGCAGCGAACGGGUGAGUAACGCGUGGGGAAUCUGCCUUUGAGCGGGGGACAACAUUUGGAAACGAAUGCUAAUACCGCAUAACAACUUUAAACAUAAGUUUUAAGUUUGAAAGAUGCAAUUGCAUCACUCAAAGAUGAUCCCGCGUUGUAUUAGCUAGUUGGUGAGGUAAAGGCUCACCAAGGCGAUGAUACAUAGCCGACCUGAGAGGGUGAUCGGCCACAUUGGGACUGAGACACGGCCCAAACCCCUACGGGAGGCAGCAGUAGGGAAUCUUCGGCAAUGGACGAAAGUCUGGCCGAGCAACGCCGCGUGAGUGAAGAAGGUUUUCGGAUCGUAAAACUCUGUUGGUAGAGAAGAACGUUGGUGAGAGUGGAAAGCUCAUCAAGUGACGGUAACUACCCAGAAAGGGACGGCUAACUACGUG